rnacentral:tRNA from 1 species
GCCCUCGUAGUAUAAUUGGAUAAAACACUGGGCUUCGGACCCAGAGUUGAGAGUUCGAGUCUCUCCGAGGGCA